UACGAAGGGGGCUAGCGUUGUUCGGAAUUACUGGGCGUAAAGCGCGCGCAGGCGGUCUUCCAAGUCAGUGGUGAAAGCCUGGAGCUCAACUCCAGAACUGCCAUUGAAACUGUUAGACUUGAGUACGAGAGAGGUGAGUGGAAUUCCCCAAGUAGAGGUGAAAUUCGUAGAUAUGGGGAGGAACACCGGUGGCGAAGGCGGCCAUCUGGACGGUAACUGACGCUGAGACGCGAAAGCGUGGGGAGCAAACAGGG
rnacentral:rRNA from 1 species